CUAUUGUUAUUUUGGACUAUAGGGUGUAGUUUUUAAAGUCAUACACAAUAUGGCGGCGAUUAUGCGGAAAUGAAAUUGAAUGUUACUUCGAACACGUUCUUCUACAAAAUAACCGACCUGUAUUUAGUGCUAUUGCUUUAACAUCAAUCGAAGCAAAAAUGGCAUCAAUGUAUGCGUCUAAAAAUGUUAAAUUUAGAUGGAGACAAUCCAGAAAUGAGCUGCCAGGAAGUGAUCGAUUUCGGACACGAAGAUUGAGAAGUGCCUGGAUACAAGGCUAGUAUUGUUAACAUCAUCUGAUACAAUCAACUGGAACAAAGCUGAAAUGGCUGCCUGACCUGACUUAAAAAUUGGAUGGCAGUACACCAGACUAGAAGAUUACAAGUAUCGACGUGGACAAAAUGAAACCUGAGCCUACCAAAGCUGACAGAUUGCACAAGAAACACAUAAAUGCAGAUUGGAAGAUUCAUUCUCUGGAAAGUAGAAAAGGGCGUGUUACAUACUGUUAUCACUGCCAUGACAGAAACCAUAUUGAGGAGCUGGUCCACCUGUAGGAAGAAUUGCGCUAUUGCUGCAACUUUUUUUGCAGUUGUUGCAGUGAAACUUGCACCAGUGUGUUUUCUGUGGAGAUAAAGAGAUAGUGUCCAGCAAUGAAGACCCAACUCAAGAUCUGACCUUGUAAGGCCAAUAUGAAAUAACUGUGUGGGAAAAUGGGAAAAACCUGCAGUCAGGAAUGCACGGAAAUCAUCAAAAGAACAGUGUUAAAUUAAUCUUGAAUAACUUGACAUUUAUUUUGUUUGACAUAUUUAUUCAUGGUGCAGUGAAAACAUUCUUUUUUUCUCAUGGUUAUUUAAAUUUAGAAUUGAUAGGAGGGAACAUCACUAUGUAGUUUCAUGUUCAUAGUCAGAUCAAAACCCAUGUACAUGCCCAUAUGAGCGUUCGAAAAUAUCAAAAUGUUACUUGUUGUAUGUAGUGUAAGUUAAUUAACAUAAUAAACAAAAAUAUUCAAUCAAUUUCAAUUUAUUAUGCCCCUUUCAAAGAAGAGGAGUAUAUUGCUUUGCACAUGUUGGCCGCUACGUCCGUCUGUCUGACAGUAGACCAAAGCUUUUCCGGGUGAUAACUCUACAAUUCCUAGACCUAUUGUCAAACUUGACAUGAAAGUUUGGUUUAACCAGUAGAUGACCCCUUUUGAUUUUAGGGGUAAUAUGGUCAAAGGUCACAGUGACCUUGAACAGGAAGGUGUCAAACCAUACAUCUGACUGAUAAGUUGACAA